rnacentral:rRNA from 1 species
GACGAACGCUGGCGGCGUGCUUAACACAUGCAAGUCGAACGGUGAAGCGCCUUCCUUUUUGGUGGGUGUGGAUGAGUGGCGAACGGGUGAGUAACACGUGAGUAACCUGCCCCCUUCUUCUGGAUAACCGCAUGAAAGGGUGGCUAAUACGGGAUAUUCUGGGUCUGUCGCAUGAUGGGUCGGGGAAAGAUUUUGUUUCGGUGGGGGAUGGGCUCGCGGCCUAUCAGCUUGUUGGUGGGGUGAUGGCCUACCAAGGCGGUGACGGGUAGCCGGCCUGAGAGGGUGGACGGUCACACUGGGACUGAGACACGGCCCAGACUCCUACGGGAGGCAGCAGUGGGGAAUAUUGCACAAUGGGCGCAAGCCUGAUGCAGCGACGCCGCGUGAGGGAUGGAGGCCUUCGGGUUGUGAACCUCUUUCGCCAGUGAAGCAGGCCUGCCUCGUUUGUGGGUGGGUUGACGGUAGCUGGAUAAGAAGCGCCGGCUAACUACGUG